CUUAUCUUCUGAUCAUCGGAUAGCUUUUUCCAAGACUCUUAAAAGAGUCUCUCAUGGACUGCGCUUGCAGUAAUUUCACAAGCUCUUGUCUGCUUCAUCAAUGGCGAUCUCGAUCCCUCUACGCUUCCUUGCCGUCUCUUAUCGUCGAAGCUCACCUUUUCAUUUCUUCCACUACUGUCUUUGGCUCAAUUUUUGGUGCUGAUUGAUUGGUUCUGUUUUACAGAGAGUAAAACGUUUUGGCCUGGCUAAGCAUGGCCGGCUGGCCACCAGGGCUUCUGGGUCUGACGAAAAUAGCUCUCUUAAUGGGUUUAACAUCACACCCAACAAUCUUUUCAUGCAAGAGGUGAAGCCAAAUUUUUCAAGAAGGAGAUGGUACGUUGUACCUUGAAUCAACUGGGUGCCAGAAUGGUAACUCGUUCUUCAUUGAUCCAGAUCUCCAGGAAUGAAAGAAACACUAGAUUCAGAUCGAUCUCUAUGGAUCUGGGAUCUGAUGACAAUGAAGCGGAUGAUGCUUGCUGAAGAACACAUCUGAACAAAUCUGGAAAUUAUGACUAAAAAAGAAUAUUAUCUCAUGGGAUUUGACUCAGGAAAUUAUUAUCACUAAUUGUGAUUAUAUUAAUUAAUCUUUAAAGUAAAUUAAGAAAAACAAAAUUGCUAAAAUGAUAUCCUUAAUUGUAUAUGUGUAGAGAUGGA